AUAUUAUCUUCUAUUUUCUCAGCCAGCAGACUUUAUAGGAAAGAAAACACUGAAGCAAAUUAAAGAAAAGGGACUGAAACGACGACUAGUAUAUCUCACUCUGGAAACAGAUGAUGUUGAUCCUGAGGGAAAUGAAAGUGUGUGGCAUAAUGGCAAGGUUAUUGGCAACACCACAUCUGGAACUUUCAGCUAUAGUGCUAAGCAGAGUCUGGCUUUUGCAUAUGUUCCCAUAGAGCUCAGCAAAGUUGGACAGAAACUGGAAGUUGAACUUCUAGGAAAAAAUUAUUCAGCAACUAUUAUACAAGAGCCACUGGUGUUGACUGAGCCAACAAGAACACGCCUUCAGAGAAAGGGUCAAAGUCCCAAAAUAUAAACACAGAUGAAAACACAGGAAAUUGUGCAGUUCUUUUCAUAUGCAUGCAAUUAAGAGAAUUAAACUACUCAGGUUUCUUAAUUACUGAACAUAAGAACCUCAUUGCCAUUCUUCACUGAGAAAUUUUAUGGCAUUGCCCCCUUGCUUCCUUGUAUGCAUUGUUCAUUUCAGAGAUCUGAGCACAGCUGCUGGACCAGUAUGUGUUCACUCUUCUCAGUAACAGCUGAGAGCAGAAAGUGGCUGGGUUUGAUUCAGCUUGCUCAGAUGGUAGCUGGCAGAUCUGAAUUCAAAUAGAGGAAGAAGUUGCUCUUAGUACUGACUAAUAGCAAAUUCUUCCUUCAGCGGGAGACUCGUAGUUCCUCCUUUGUCUGUCCUUGGGGUAAAGCAGCUUAUCCUAACAACUGGUUAUGACUUAACAAACUUAUCAAUAAAAUAAUAUCACUGUUCUGCACAGAAAUGCUCUCUAAAGAAUGGAAAUCUAUCCAAUAAAUCAUUACAAAGUAAUAAAGACGGUAUUAAAGGCAAACUGAA